rnacentral:rRNA from 1 species
UACGGGGGGAGCAAGCGUUGUCCGGAUUUACUGGGCGUAAAGAGCGCGCAGGCGGUCGAAUAAGUCGAAUGUGAAAGCCCCCGGCUUAACUGGGGAGGGUCAUUCGAUACUGCUCGACUUGAAGGCAGGAGAGGGUAGUGGAAUUCCCGGUGUAGUGGUGAAAUGCGUAGAUAUCGGGAGGAACACCAGUGGCGAAGGCGGGUUGCUGGGCUGACACUGACGCUGAUGCGCGAAAGCCAGGGGAGCGAACGGG